rnacentral:rRNA from 1 species
GAAUUCGCCCUUCCUACGGGGGGCAGCAGUGGAGAAUAUUGCACAAUGGGCGGAAGCCUGAUGCAGCAACGCCGCGUGCGGGAUGACGGCCUUCGGGUCGUAAACCGCUUUCGCCUGUGACGAAGCGUGAGUGACGGUAAUGGGUAAAGAAGCACCGGCUAACUACGUGCCAGCGGCCGCGGUAAUA